rnacentral:rRNA from 1 species
CGCAUCUGUGCAUGCAGCAUAUCAAUAAGCGGAGGAAAAGAAACUAACAAGGAUUCCCCUAGUAACGGCGAGUGAAGCGGGAAGAGCUCAAAUUUGAAAUCUUAAAGGGUUUCCCUUUACGAAUUGUAGUUUAAAGAAGUGUUUUCUGUUGAGGUUUUGGUAAAAGUUCUUUGGAAUAGGACAUCAUAGAGGGUGAGAAUCCCGUAUUUGACCUUUACUUUCAACUUUGUGAUACACUUUCAAAGAGUCGGAUUGUUUGGGAAUGCAGUCCAAAAUGGGUGGUAAAUUUCAUCUAAAGCUAAAUAUUGGCGAGAGACCGAUAGCGAACAAGUACCGUGAGGGAAAGAUGAAAAGAACUUUGAAAAGAGAGUUAAACAGUACGUGAAAUUGUCAAAAGGGAAGCGUUUGACACCAGUGUUGUUUUUCUGAAAAUCAAUUAAAGAACUGUUUAUGCUAAGUUGUUUAGACUUUAUCAGCUAUCUGCUUAGUUUUGAGCUUUUCUUUAAUGCACUUUUCAGUUAACAAGUCAACAUCAAUUUCUUUUGCUGUAAAAAAGCUUGAGGAAGGUGGCUUGAGAUUCGUCUUAAGUGUUUAUAGCCUCUUGCCUAUGCAGUCGGAGAGAUUGAGGUCUGCAGCGUAGAUCCUUCGGGGCUAAAUGCAUUUGUGCUAAGUUAUAGCAUUUUAUAGACAACUUGUUGACUAUGAUUUGUCUUGUAGCUUACUCGCUUAUGUUAUUUUACCUACGCUUAGGAUGUUGAAGAUGUAGCACAUCAU